rnacentral:rRNA from 1 species
GUUUAUCACCAUUCCAGAUUGAAUAUACCCGAUCUCGUCGUGAUCUGGGAAGUCAAGCAAUCUCGGGCUUGGUUAGUACUUGGAUGGGUGACCGCUUGGGAAUACCAAGUGUGAUAAGCA